rnacentral:misc_RNA from 1 species
CGCACAUUGCGCCCUUUGGCAUUCCGAAGGGCAUGCCCGUUCGAGCGUCAUUAAACCCCAUCAAGCCUGGCUUGGUAUUGAGCGUCGGGGCCGCCCGCGCUUCAAUUUCACCGGCUGGCCGUCGCCCUCGACUUAGCGUUGUGACACAAUCUCGCUGAGAAGAGGGUCGGACCACGCCGUUAAACCCCACGGAUUUCAAUCGAAAUUCGAUCAAGGUUGACCUCGGAUCGGGUAGGAAUACCCGCUGAACUUAA